ACUCCUACGGGAGGCAGCAGUAGGGAAUAUUGCGCAAUGGGGGAAAGCCCAUCGACGCAGCGACGCCGCGUGAGUGAUGAAGGCCUUCGGGUCGUAAAGCUCUGUCGUAAGGGAAUAAAAAUGAAGGUACCUUACAAGAAAGGACCGGCUAACUUCGUGCCAGCAGCCGCGGUAAUACGAGGGGUCCUAGCGUUGCUCGGAAUCAUUGGGCGUAAAGCGGGUGUAGGUGGACGACCAAGUCAGAUGUGAAAGCCCCGGGCUGCAACCCGGAACGAUGCAUUUGAAAUACUGGUUGUCUUGAGUGCAGUAGAGGAAGGUGGAAUUCCAAGUGUAGUGGUGAAAUACGUAGAUAUUUGGAGGAACAUCGGUGGCGAAGGCGACCUUCUGGACUGUUACUGACACUGAGACCCGAAAGCGUGGGGAUCAAACAGGAUUAGAUACCCUGGUAGCUACGAGU
rnacentral:rRNA from 1 species